GUGCUCACUGUGGCAGUACAUAUACUAAAAUCAGAAUGAUACAGAGAAGAUUAGCGUGGUUCCUGCACAAGGAUAACAUACAAAUUCAUGAAUUGUUCCAUAGUUUU
rnacentral:snRNA from 1 species